AUUGAACGCUGGCGGCAGGCCUAACACAUGCAAGUCGAGCGGAUGAAGGGAGCUUGCUCCUGGAUUCAGCGGCGGACGGGUGAGUAAUGCCUAGGAAUCUGCCUGGUAGUGGGGGAUAACGUCCGGACACGGGCGCUAAUACCGCAUACGUCCUGAGGGAGAAAGUGGGGGAUCUUCGGACCUCACGCUAUCAGAUGAGCCUAUGUCGGAUUAGCUAGUUGGUGGGGUAAAGGCCUACCAAGGCGACGAUCCGUAACUGGUCUGAGAGGAUGAUCAGUCACACUGGAACUGAGACACGGUCCAGACUCCUACGGGAGGCAGCAGUGGGGAAUAUUGGACAAUGGGCGAAAGCCUGAUCCAGCCAUGCCGCGUGUGUGAAGAAGGUCUUCGGAUUGUAAAGCACUUUAAGUUGGGAGGAAGGGCAGUAAGUUAAUACCUUGCUGUUUUGACGUUACCAACAGAAUAAGCACCGGCUAACUUCGUG
rnacentral:rRNA from 1 species